UACGUAGGCAGCGAGCGUUGUUCGGAAUUACUGGGCGUAAAGAGUGUGUAGGCGGUGCUCUAAGUUCGGUGUGAAAUCUCCCGGCUUAACUGGGAGGGUGCGCCGGAAACUGGAGUGCUCGAGCGUGGGAGAGGAAAGCGGAAUUCCUGGUGUAGCGGUGAAAUGCGUAGAUAUCAGGAGGAACACCUGCGGUGUAGACGGCUUUCUGGACCAUUGCUGACGCUGACACGAAAGCGUGGGUAGCAAACAGG
rnacentral:rRNA from 1 species